rnacentral:rRNA from 1 species
AACUAACUAGGAUUCCCUCAGUAGCUGCGAGCGAACAGGGAUAAGCCCAGCACCGAAUCCCGCGGCCGAUACCGGACGCCGGGAAAUGUGGUGUUCGGGAGGGUCCAUUAUCCCGAGAUUAUGCGGCGCGUCCAAGUCCUUCUUGAACGGGGCCACAGCCCAUAGAGGGUGCCAGGCCCGUAGCGACCGCCGCUGAUCGCGGGAGGAUCUCUCCUCAGAGUCGGGUUGCUUGAGAGUGCAGCCCUAAGUGGGUGGUAAACUCCAUCUAAGGCUAAAUAUGACCACGAGACCGAUAGCGAACAAGUACCGUGAGGGAAAGUUGAAAAGCACUUUGAAGAGAGAGUUCAAGAGUACGUGAAACCGUUUAGGGGUAAACCUGAGAAACCCGAAAGGUCGAAGGGAGAAAUUCAUUCGCGUUUCGACGCAGGCGUCGGACGGUCGUGCGACGGGAAGCGCUCGCGCUUUUCCGCGCCCUCCGUUCGCUACGAACCGGUGUCGAACGCGUGCACUUUUCUCCUGGUAGGACGUCGCGAUCCGUUGGGUGUCGGUCUACGGCUCGCGGUGGAGCCCGUUCGUUUCGCCUUAAAACGUACGAACGGACCCGCGUGUCCCGGCCGACUCGCUCGACGGUAUACGAAAGGUUAAAGGCCGCUCUCUCCUGGAGCGUUCGACUCGCGGCAAGCGCGCCAGAUGCGUCGGCGAUCGGACCCGGUGCCGAUUCUGACCUCUGGUGACUGUUGGCCGCGAUGUUCUCGAACAGACC